GGGGAUUUAGUUCAGCGGCAUGAGUACCUGCCUUGCAAGCAGGUGGUCGUGAGUACGAUCCCUG
rnacentral:tRNA from 1 species